ACAAGAGUGAGGCAUAUUGCAAUACGGAAGAACGCAGUGAUGGAGUUGGAGAAAUGGAGUACAUUUUAAAGGGAAAAUAGUGUUCGACGGUGUCAGUGGGCUGUCUCUCCUGGGCUCAUCGACGGCGGCUUGUGGCUUGGUCUGACUAGUGGUCGAUGGAUUCAAGUUUGAUUCUGACUUCGGCAUUAACACCGGAGAUGGGGCCCUUGUGCUAGAUCCACUCUGGACCGGCCACAUUCUGGUUGGAGUGCCUGCAAAGAUGACCCCUGCGCGUCGUCCGGAUGUUGAUGGUCGCAGCAGCGAGCCUGUGGCGGCCAUCGGGGUGUGUUGAAGGCUGAGGAGGGUUUGGAGAUGCACAUCUAGUGCGGCGGCGCCGCUUCGGCAAAGCUCCUAGAUUGCUUUAUGGAUUGAGUUUCUCAACUUGCAGUGGAUCCUUUCAGGUCGGAGUUGGUGAGGCCAUGUCCGGUGAGCCGAUCCCGUGCGAUAGUGGUGGCUGUUGGUGGUAGCGACGGCAGUUCGGCUUGGAAAAGUGUUAUCGGCGGCUGUCAAGCACGGGUGCCUCUCUUCUUGGAUGCCCAUAGCAAAUCUGGUUGGGUCUCUGCUUGGGCCUUGCUGAUUUGGGCUUGGGUUUCCUCCUUGGCCCUGGGCCUGUAUGGCUGGGUUGGGUUGUUAUAUUUUUCUUUUCUUACAUUCUAAUAAUUUUUAUUUUGUCAAAGUGGGGGGUAUUUUACUAUUUGGAAAUGAUGUUGCUGCUAUCAAAAGAAUAUGCCGUCGGUGGCGUUCGUUUCAUCUGUGUCAUAGAUAUUCACGGAUAUGAACCGAAACUAUGUUGGAAGUGUUUCAGUGCUAGAAAAGGUGAUCCUG